rnacentral:rRNA from 1 species
UGGGGAAUAUUGCACAAUGGGCGAAAGCCUGAUGCAGCGACGCCGCGUGAGGGAUGACGGCCUUCGGGUUGUAAACCUCUUUCAGUAGGGACGAAGCGCAAGUGACGGUACCUGCAGAAGAAGCACCGGCUAACUACGUGCCAGCAGCCGCGGUAAUACGUAGGGUGCGAGCGUUUUCCGGAAUUACUGGGCGUAAAGAGCUCGUAGGCGGUUUGUCACGUCGUCGUUGAAAUCCUAGGGCUUAACCCUGGACGUGCAGGCGAUACGGGCUGACUUGAGUACUACAGGGGAGACUGGAAUUUCUGGUGUAGCGGUGGAAUGCACAGAUAUCAGGAAGAACACCGAUGGCGAAGGCAGGUCUCUGGGUAGUAACUGACGCUGAGGAGCGAAAGCAUGGGUAGCGAACAGG